UACGUAGGGGGCAAGCGUUAUCCGGAUUUACUGGGUGUAAAGGGAGCGUAGACGGCGCUGCAAGUCCGGAGUGAAAGCCCAUGGCUUAACCAUGGUACUGCUCUGGAAACUGUGGAGCUUGAGUGCGGGAGGGGCAGGCGGAAUUCCUAGUGUAGCGGUGAAAUGCGUAGAUAUUAGGAGGAACACCAGUGGCGAAGGCGGCCUACUGGACGGUGACUGACGCUGAGGCUCGAAAGCGUGGGGAGCAAACAGG
rnacentral:rRNA from 1 species